AUGGAGUCCGGCUGGGACAGCUCCCAACGCGUCCUGAUGUGGAUGAUGGACUGGACGAUGGCCUCACACUCCUGGUGCAUGAAGAUAUCGCGGAAGGAGAUCAGUGUGCCUUGUAAGGAUCCGGCGACGAGUGGCUAAAAACUCCCCCCCCCCCAAAUCGGUACUAUUGGCCAACGUACAAUCGCUGGAUAAUAAAGUGGACGAACACGUAUAUCCUACCAAUGGGACAUUAAAAAACGAACAUCUUAUGUUUCACCAAGUCGUGGCUGAACGACUACAUGAAUAACAUACAGCUGGUGGGUUACACACUGUAUCGGACAAUCAGAACAGCAGCCUAUGGUAAGACAAGGGGUGGCGGUCUAUGUAUAUUUGUAAACAACAGCUGGUGCACGAUAUCUAAGGACGUCUCGAGGUUUUGAUCGCAUGAGGUAGAGUAUCUCAUGAUAAUCUGCAGACCACACUAUCUACCAAGAGAGUUUCCAUCUAUAUUCUUUGUAGCUGUCUAUUUACCACCACAAACCGAUACUGGCACCAAGACUGCACUCAAUGAGUUGUAUACAGCCAUAAACAAACAGGAAAAUGCUCAUCCAUAGGCGGCGCUCCAUGUGUCCGGGGACUUUAAUUAAAAGGAAACUUAAAUCCGUUUUACCUCAUUUCUACCACCAUGUUAAAUGUGCAACCAGAGGGGGAAAAACUUUAGACCACCUUUACUCCACACACAGAGCAGUACAAAGCUCUCCCUCACCCUCCAUCCUCCUCGGUCAAUAAAAAAAAAGUGGUCAGAUGAAGCAGAUGCUAAGCUACAGGACUGUUUUGCAAGCACAAACUGGAAUAGGUUCUGGGAUUCUUCCAAUGCCAUUGAGUACACAACAUCAGUCACUAGCUUUGUCAAUAAGUGCAUCGUCGUCCCCAAAGUGACUGUACGUACAUACCCCAACCAGAAGCCAUGGAUUACAGGCAACAUCCACACUGAGAUAUAGGGCAGAGCUGCCGCUUUCAAGGAGCGGGACUCUAACCCGGAAGCUUAUAAGAAACCCCGCUAUGCCCUCCGACGAACCAGCCAACAGGCAAAGCACCAAUACAGGACUAAGAUCGAAUCGUACCACACCGGCUCCGAUGCUCGUCGAGUGUGGCAGGGCUUGUAAACUAUUACAGAGUACAAACAGAAGUACAGCCGCGAGCUGCUCAGUGACACGAGCCUACCAGAUGAGCUCAAUUACUUCUAUGCUCGCUUCGAGGCAAGUAACGCUGAAACAUGCAUGAGAGCAUCAGACUGUGUGAUCACGCUCUCCGUAGCCGACGCGAGUAAGACCUUCAAAUAGGUCAACAUUCACAAGGCCGCAGGACCAGACGGACUACCAGGACGUGUACCCCGAGCAUGCACUGACCAACUUGCAAGUGUCUUCACUGACAUUUUCAACCUCUCCCUAUCUGAGUCUGUAAUACCAACACCAAGGUAACCUGCCGAAAUGACUACCAACUCGAAGCACUCACGUCUGUAGCCAUGAAGUGCUUUGAAAGGCUGGUCAUGGCUCACAUCAACACCAUUAUCACAGAAUCCCUAGACCCACUCCAAUUUGCAUACCGCCCCAACGGAUCAUGCCAUCUCUAUUGCACUCCACACUGACCUCUCCCACCUUGACAAAAGGAACACCUAUGUGAGAACGCUAUUCAUUGACUACAGCUCAGCAUUCAACACCAUAGUGCCCUCAAAGCUCAUCACUAAGCUAAGGACCCUGGUACUAAACACCUCCCUCUGCAACUGGAUCCUGGAUUUCCUGACAGGCCGCCCCCAGGUGGUAAGGAUAGGUAACAACACAUCCGCCAUGCUGAUCCACAACACAGGGGCCACUCAGGGGUGCAUGCUCAGUCCCCUCCUGUACUCCCUGUUCACCCAAGACUGCGUGGCCAGGCACGACUCCAACACCAUCAUUCAGUUUGCAGACGACACAACAGUGGUAGGCCUGAUCACCGACAAUGACGAGACAGCCUUUAGGGAGGUCAGAGACCUGACCGUGUGGAGCCAGGACAACAACCUCUCCCUCAACGUGAUCGAGACAAAGGAGAUGAAUGUGGACUACAGGAAAAAGUGAACCAAACACACCCCCAUUCACAUCAACAGGGCUGUAGCAAAGCAGGUUGAGAGUUAAGUUCCUUGUUGUCCACAUCACAAACAAACAUCCAAGCACACCAAGACAGUCGUGAAGAGGGCACGACAAAACCUAUUCCAUCUCAGGAGACUGAAAAUAUUUGGAAUGAGUCCUCAUAUCCUCAAAAGGUUCUACAGCUGCAACAUCGAGAGCAUCUUGACUGGUAUGGCAACUACUCGGCCUCCAACCGCAAGGCACUACAAAGGGUAGUGCGUACCUCCCAGUACAUCACAGGGGCCAAGCGUCCUGCCAUCCAGGACUUCUAUACCAGGCGGUGUCAGAGGAAGGCCAUAAAGAUUGUCAAAGGCUCCAGCCACCCUAGUCAUUAACGGUUCUGCACAGCAAGCGGCACCGGAGGGCCAAGUCUAGGUCCAAGAGGCUUCUAAAAAACAGCUUCUACCCCCAAGCCAUAAGACUCCUGAACAUCUAAUCAAAUGGCUACCCAGACUAUUUGCAUUGCCCCCACCUCUUUUACAGUGCUGCUACUCUGUUUAUUAUCUAUGCAUAGUCACUUUAAUAACUCUACCUACAUGUACAGUUGAAGUCAAAAGUUCACAUACACCUUAGCCAAAUUCAUUUAAACUCAGUUUUUCACAAUUCCUGACAUUUAAUCCUUGUAAAUGUUAUCUUUCUUAGGUCAGUUAGGAUCACCACUUUCUUUUAAGAAUGUGAAAUGUCAGAAUAAUAGUAGAGAGAAUUAUUUAUUUCAGCUUUUAUUCAUUUCAUCACAUUCCCAGUGAGCAGAAGUUUACAUACACUCAAUUAGUAUUUGGUAGCAUUGCCUUUAAAUUGUUUAACUAGAGUCAAACGUUUCGGGUAGCCUUCCACAAGCUUCCCACAAUAAAUUGGGUGAAUUUUGGCCAAUUUCCCCCUGACAGAGCUGGUGUCACGGAGUCAGGUUUGUAGGCCUCCUUCCUCGCACACGCAUUUUCAGUUCUGCCCACAAAUUGUUUAUAGGAUUGAGGUCAGGGCUUUGUGAUGGCCACUCCAAUACCUUGACUUUGUUGUCCUUAAGCCAUUUUGGCACAACUUUUGAAGUAUGCUUGGGGUUAUUGUCCAUUUGGAAAACCCAUUUGUGACCAAGCUUUAACUUCCUGAAUGAUGUCUUGAGAUGUUGCUUCAAUAUAUCCACUUAAAUAUUCCUGCCUCAUGAUGCUGAUUUAGUUUGUGAAGGGCACCAGUCCCUCUUGCAGCAAAGCACCCCCACAACAUGAUGCUGCCACCCCCGUGCUUCACGGUUGGGAUGGUGUUCUUUGGCUUGCAAGCCUCCCCCUUUUUCCUCCAAACAUAACGAUGGUCAUUAUGGCUAAACAGUUCUAUUUUUAUUUCAUCAGACCAAAGGACAUUUCUCCAAAAAGUAACAUUUUUGUCCCACUGUGCAGUUGCAAACCGUAGUCUGGCUUUUUUUUUUAAUGGCGGUUUUGGAGCAGUGGCUUCUUCCUUGCUGAGCGGCCUUUCAGGUUAUGUCGAUAUAGGACUCGUUUUACUGUGGAUAUAGAUACUUUUGUACCCGUUUCCUCCAGCAUCUUCACAAGGUCCUUUGCUGUUGUUCUGGGAUUGAUUUGCACUUUUCGCACCAAAGUACGUUCAUCUCUAGGAGACAGAACGCGUAUCCUUCCUGAGUGGUAUGACGGCUGCGUGGUCCCAUGGUGUUUAUACUUGCGUACUACUGUUUGAACAGAUGAACGUGGUAUCUUCAGGUGUUUGGAAAUGGCUCCCAAGGAUGAACCAGACUUGUGGGUGCCUAGAAUGUCUUGGCUGAUUUCUUUUGAUUUUCCCAUGAUGUCAAGCAAAGAGGCACUAAGUUUGAAGGUAGGCCUUGAAAUACAUCCACAGGUACACCUCCAAUUGACUCAAAUGAUGUCAAUUAGCCUAUCAAAAGCUUCUGAAGCCAUGACAUCAUUUCUGGAGUGGUUGAAAAGCGAGUUUUAAUGACUCCAACAUAAGUGUAUGUAAACUUCCGACUGUACAUAUUACCUCAAUUACCUCGACUAACUGGUGCUCCCUCACAUUGUACCAGUACCCCCUGUAUAUAGCCUUGCUAUUGUUAUUUUACUGCUGCUCUUUGUUACUUUUAUUUAUUUUCUUUUUAGGUAUUUUUCUUAAAAUUACAUUGUUGGUUUAUGGGCUUGUAAGUAAGCAUUUCACUAAGGUCUACAUGUUGUAUUUGGCGCAUGUGACAAAUACAAUUUGAUUAGUAAUUAUAACAAACACUUCUCGUCUCCAAGACAACAACAUGUUUCCACUCCUCUCAACAGCCCACCUGUUGUAGGGUGUUAACCAUAGUGCUUUCUCUCUGGCUUCUGUGUGACCAAGCUAAUCAUCACACACACACACAAACUGAUAUACAGGUAACUUCCAAAAUAAAGGAAACACUAACAUAAAUCAUCUUAAUAGGGCAUUGGGCCAGAAAAGCUCCAAUGCACCUUGGUAAAGUUGGCAUAGAUUCUACAAGUGUCUGGAACUCUAUUGGAGGGAUGCGACGCCAUUCUUCCACGAGAAAUUCCAUAAUUUGGUGUUUUGUAGAUGGUGGUGGAAAACACUGUCUCAGUCACGGCUCCAGAAUAUCCCAUAAGUGUUCAAUAGGGUUGAGAUCUGGUGACUGAGACAGCCAUGCCAUAUGGUUUACAUAAUUUUCAUGCUCAUCAAACCAUUCAGUGACCACUCGUGCCCUGUGGAUGGGGACAUAGCCAUGGUAGCCAAAAUAAUGGGAAAGAUAAUGGCCUGCCCAGCAUUUUUAUACAUGACCCUAAGCAUGAUGGGGGUGUUAAUUGCUUAAUUAAAUCAGGAAGCACACCUGUGUAGAUUCAAGUGCUUUCAAUAUACUUUGUAUCCUUCGUUUACUCAAGUGUUUCCGUUAUUUUGGAAGUUACAGUUAGCUUCAAAUAAAGCAGCAAAGGAGAAGUAAGAGCGGUACAGGAAACAUAUCAUUACUGUGCGAGCGUGACAAAGGCUUGAAUGCUUCUCACACCCCUUUUUUCCCCCCCAGACAUUUCUCUUCUAUAAAAUUGCUCACAGAUACAGGUGUUAAAAAAAAAAAAUCUUGCCUGGCUUCUCCUGUGUUACGAAGUACCACAAACAAACUUGUCAACUCCGUCAAGAAAUAUGAAUGGCUCCCAGGUCUGCCUCUUGCUGUACAGUGUAGUACUAAUGGGAUAUGGGGCUAACCCUGACACAACCAUGGGACCAUCUGUAACUACAGGUUUAACCACAGCAACAAAUCAAACCUCAACACACUCCACUAGGGCAACAUCUGGAACCAACAUCCCAGCAACCACCAACACACCAUCCAGAGCCUACACUAAGGCCCAUCCCAAUCCCUGUGCCGACUGUCUGCUUAAGGAGAUGGAUGCCACCAUCCUGCUGAUAGUGACGGGUUGCCUGGUGGUCCUGUGUACCAUCCUGCUGGUCUCCACCGUGGUGCUGUUAUACCAGGUGUUCCACCUGAAGCACCAGCUAUGUAGCAGAACCAUCAGCAGCCGCCCCACCCGCAGCAACGUAGACCUGGUGAGUGGUUCUGGGCACUGGGGCACUGGGCAGAAGACCAAGGAGAGGCCUGGCUCUGAGCCCAGUGAGACCAGCCUGAUGAUGCCAGAGCUCAGACAGACGCAGGAUGGGGAGAGGGGCAAGGAAGAGGAGCCAGAGAAGGAAGUCAAGGAGCAAGGGAAAGAUGAGACGGCGAAAGCCACGCCCAAGAAGAAAGAGGAGGCAGCCACAGCUAACGUCCGGAAGUGCUGAAAAUGGAGCGUCGACCCCCAGCCAGGAGAGCCCAGUCACCAACAACCAGCCUGCAGAGCCCUCUGACCCCGCAGCCACAACAGCCUCUCCUUCCUCCCAGCCCUCCAGUGAUGUGGUGGUGGGGUGAGUGGCGCACUCAUGGUGACCUUCUCAGACCGCAUACUGAUUGGUACAGCACAGUUUUAUACAACAGCUUCUAUUGACAUGCCCUAAAGAGACCAUCUGCUUUCGCACUGACAGGUGUUUGUGUAGACAAAUAGAGUGAUUUUUCAAUACCACAGUAGCUUUAUACACCAUGUUUGCAUUCUCAUUCAAAACUUAUGAAAUAAUUACUGUUAUGAUAAUGUAAUACACAUUCAUGUACAAGAAGAAGUUGACUAUAAUGUGAAUGUUUGAUAUUUGUAUUAAUUUGUAUUUGUGCAAAACAAAAAUACAUAUUUGUUCAAAUGUAGAGCAUUCCUCAGUGUCACUGAUCAGAGGACUUGUAUUUUGUCUAGUGGAUAUAUCCCAGCUUGCUUGUUGUCACAUUUCAUCUCCCAUUUCCCUCACUUCUUUUUUAGACAUUCUAAAUGCAAUAGAAAUGCUGUUAAUAUUACAAAAGCAGAAACAACCACCACCACCAGCACUGAACUGUAGUAUCAGGUCAAGUAAAGAGACUGCAUUAAGAGGAUUUUAAGCAACAAAGCUCUUCCAGAAACACUCACAAUGUAUUACUACAAUUCAACAUCACUUUCUUGGUCUUUUCUCUACAGUAAAGAAGAAUUCACAUGUUUCUACUCUAGCUCCAUCUAUCCUUUGUAUACAACAAUAAAGCAUUACGACACCUUG